rnacentral:miRNA from 1 species
CACAGGCAAGGACUUCUCAAG